CAAUGUGAAAUGUAUGAUAAUAUUUUGUUAAUAAUAUAUUGCGCACGCGUAGCGAACAUAAUACUAUGCCUAUUGUAUUGUUGUAUUUUUUAAGUAGAGAAUAUUGAAAACGGCAUAAUAAUAUAUACAUAUACAUAUAUAUAUAUAUAUCUGUUCCAACUGAAACGUUUACACCGGUCCGCGCGAGCGUUUUCAAUAUUUCCGAAUGAAAAAUAAAAAAAAAAAAUUAAAUAAAUAAAUAAAAACAGUAAGUUGUAAAAACGUAAUCUAAAUCCGCACAACCGCCGCACGUAAAAGCGUGCUAAUGUUUUGUUUCGUUUCCGUUCAUUUCCGUACGCCUAUUUCGCCAUCGGCGGCAAUUAUCGUUGUACAAUAAUAUCACGGAGCCCGUUAGAAGGCGUAACGGGAUUAUUAAAUGACUACGAUCGCGCCGGAAAACGCGUUUUGUCUUGCGAAAAUUAAACGCGGAAGGAGUACUGUACUGUAAUUUCGUCGUGGUUAAAAAUCGCUCCGAACAUUCUGUUUGUUGCCCGACCGAGUUUACAAAUCUGCGCCGGACGUUUCGAUAAAUAAUAUUACCCGGCCGGAGGGUUAGUAUAAUAGAUCUUGACGUUUUCGUCCAAAUCGACCGCAUGAAAUAAUUAUUUAAGCCGAACGAAUACGAUUUUCAUUGACGGGACACGUCUCGUUCAAUAUAAUAUCAAUCAAUAAUAUAAUAUAUCUUUAAACAGAAAAAAAAAAAAAAAAAAAAAAAAAAAACGUGCGAGCUAAAGGCUGAAAACUACAAAAUAUUCCUCACGUUAACUGCAUAUGCGAGUCCAAAAAAGAUUUUCUCAGUCCAACUACGCCCAUAAUAAUGCGUAUUACGACUGCGUGUAUUCAAAAAGUUUCCGGACCGUUUGAAGGGCGCGCCAACAGAGCGUCAUAAAGCACUGGGAUAUCGUUGGCUUUUGCGACUUUUUCUGGCCACGUCUGGUUCUGUACAAUCUACUUCGUUUUAACGUCGCCGGUAUGUUUUUAUAAUAAUUCAAAAAAUAAUAAUAACAAAACAAAAUUCGAUCAACCGUUUGUAACCGAACACCUCCACACAAUAUUAAAUAUUUAUUUAAUUUUUUACUAUCGCCUUAUUUAGACCCCCUUUUCCCUUGUAUACAAUCGAUUUUUUUUUCUUUUCCUAUUUCUACGUCUAAUCAUUUUAUAAUAACAUAUAUUAUAUAUAUAUAUAUGCAUAUAUCAUUAUAAUUUUGUACAUGUAUAUGAAUCCAAAAUUUUUGUUACCAAAUUAUAUACUAUUACCAAUACACUGAUAUUAAGGUGACUGAUGAACGGUUUUUUUUUUCUUUUGGCUAAAACAACGUUAACCGUUUUUAGUUUUAAUUUUUUAGAAAAUUAGUCAAUUUAGACGUAUGAGAUAAAAUAUUAUUGUUAUACGAGUAUUCAAAAAAUCUCCACAUAAUAAAAUAGAGUAAAAAAAAAAAAAAAAAAACUCUACAUAAAGCCUGGCAAAUAAUGCUGGUGAUAGUUGCGAAACACGCAAUUGCUAUCGUGAACAAUUUUCGUUCAUUGAAGGGCGAUAGUAACUAUCGUGAACGCAACUAUCGCACACCAUCGUGCAUGAUAUUUGAUAGUUUAUAUCGUGAGAAUAAUAGUAACUAUUGCUGACACGUUCCUGGCGUUCUGUUUUAAUUUCGUACCCUAGACUCUGUAGCUAAUAUGGGUUAAUAUUGAAGGCCUUUAUUAUAGCUCCGAGUAUUGGGAGGCGUGAUCAUGCCAAACGAAAAUAGAAAGAUGGACUGAUGCGUGAGAGAGAACCAUACUCUGUCCCGAGGUCCUUUACACCACAUUUGGUUUAUUCAUCUGUCUAGCCUCAGGAUCACGACUGGCACGCGUCAUUAUACUGAGUGUUCCAUCUAGUCGUAUAAUAAGUCUAAUAUGACAGUAUCGCACUUUAGUAGACGUUUCUGUCAAAAUGCACACGGACAGGUAUCACACGGCGACGUACUCAAGUCCCCCUCCCAAAGAGGCCUAUAAUCCAGACAUUGUUAUGUUUUUUGCAAUAACUUGUUACACAAAAUACAAAAUGCAAAAUUUUAAGUCUGAAACGUUUCAUAUAAUCAAUAAUUGUCCGUUUAUUAUUUAGGAUGUUAAACGUUCGUGAAAUUAUAUGAUAUAGUUUUUAUCAGCUAUGAUUUUUUUCUAGGCGUGUUUAACAAAUACCUAUUCAUAUCAUUGUCCAAAUAAAGAUUCUACUUACGUCACUGUUAUAGCUUUUUAUACAAUUCUACGGACGCUGUAUCUGCGAUAAUUACUAUCGCGACAAUUUUGACGCCGACCACCCACGGUAUGACUAUUACAACUUUGAUCACGUUAACCUGGCUAUAAUGUAGAAAUAACAGAAUAAAUAUAUAUAUAAAAUAUAUAAUUUUAGACGUUUUUGGUUUGUCUGUGAUAACUUAAU
rnacentral:lncRNA from 1 species